GACGAACGCUGGCGGCAGGCUUAACACAUGCAAGUCGAGCGCCCCGCAAGGGGAGCGGCAGACGGGUGAGUAACGCGUGGGAACGUGCCCUUCGCUUCGGAAUAUUCCCGGGAAACUGGGAGCAAUGCCGGAUACGCCGAAUUGGGAAAGAUUUAUCGGCGAAGGAUCGGCCCGCGUUAGAUUAGGUAGUUGGUGGGGUAAUGGCCUACCAAGCCUACGAUCUAUAGCUGGUCUGAGAGGAUGAUCAGCCACACUGGGACUGAGACACGGCCCAGACUCCAACGGGAGGCAGCAGUGGGGAAUCUUGGACAAUGGGCGCAAGCCUGAUCCAGCCAUGCCGCGUGAGUGAAGAAGGCCUUAGGGUUGUAAAACUCUUUCGCCGGUGAAGAUAAUGACGGUAGCCGGAGAAGAAGCCCCGGCUAACUUCGUGCCAGCCGCCGCAGUAAUAC
rnacentral:rRNA from 1 species